UACGGAGGAUCCAAGCGUUAUCCGGAUUCACUGGGUUUAAAGGGUGCGUAGGCGGGCAGGUAAGUCAGUGGUGAAAUCUCCGAGCUUAACUCGGAAACUGCCGUUGAUACUAUUUGUCUUGAAUAUUGUGGAGGUAAGCGGAAUAUGUCAUGUAGCGGUGAAAUGCUUAGAUAUGACAUAGAACACCAAUUGCGAAGGCAGCUUACUACACAACGAUUGACGCUGAGGCACGAAAGCGUGGGGAUCAAACAGG
rnacentral:rRNA from 1 species